rnacentral:rRNA from 1 species
UACGUAGGGUGCGAGCGUGUCCGGAAUUAUUGGGCGUAAAGAGCUCGUAGGCGGUCUGUCGCGUCGGUCGUGAAAACUCGGGGCUUAACCCCGGGCCUGCAGUGGGUACGGGCAGACUAGAGUGCGGUAGGGGAGACUGGAAUUUCUGGUGUAGCGGUGAAAUGCGCAGAUAUCAGGAGGAACACCGGUGGCGAAGGCGGGUCUCCUGGGCCGAUACUGACGCUGAGGAGCGAAAGCGUGGGGGAGCAAACAGG